AUGGAAGUCAGACACGGCAGAGGUCAGGCAGGGGCUGCCGGGCAGCAGGGUCAGCUCCAACAUCAGCCCAUGGGGUUUUCCUGCAGUGCCCGUUGCUGCUGAGAGCUGUGCUGUGCUGCAGGAAUGCGGCUCACCCGAACUACAGCAAAGCUGCUGCUGUUGCAUCAGAUCAGCUUUCCCAUGGAUGAGCUGGCUGGAAGGAAGAUAUAAAUCCUCCCUCUUCUAGUUGCAAGAGAAAGCAGGCAAGGAACUGGAAAACGAGCGAAAAGAAGAGCAGCAGCGAUCUCGGCUCAACACAUAGGCUCUGAAGAAGUCCUCUGUGGCUCACAGAGAAGUGAACUUAGAGGCACAGACAGGGAAUCGUGGCAUAUCAUAGAGUCAUAGAAGGGCCUGGGUUGCAAAGGACCACAAUGCUCAUCCAGUCCCAACCCCCUGCUAUGUGCAGGGUCGCCAACCAGCAGCCCAGGCUGCCCAGAGCCACAUCCAGCCUGGCCUUGAAUGCCUGCAGGGAUGGGGCAUCCACAGCCUCCUUGGGCAACCUGCUCCAGUGGUUGCGUUCAUCCCUUGAGAUGUGGCAUCCCCAGAACUGUCAUGCCAUACGAGGCGUGAUAAACCACACUGACACCACGCUUUGUCUUUCAGGAGAGCCCAGGAGAUGCAUAGAAGCCCUCCUGAGCUGUGCAGGAUGCAGGAGCCCAGGGGUUGGCUGCAGCCCGGAGAGCUCUGAAGGACCCAUCUCUUCUUCCCAGGCCUGGCCCGUCCGUUCCGCUUUCGUUCCGUUAUAAAUAACAACGUUUAGAUUUGCUGGAAUAAAGCUUUUCCUCCUGUUUCUAAUGGUGGUAAACAUCCUCUUGUGGGCUCCCCACGGGCUGCUGGCACUGUCCCUGCGCUGUCCUGACACCUCUCAGAGCCCUGACGUGGUGUGAAGGGCUGGGGUGGUAAUAUGGGACAGGCUGGGGGAUUUCUGAAUGCAACCCCACACCCGCGUGUGGGAGUUUGAGAAGAGAGGGCACAUAAAUGGGGGGAUUUGGGGCUUACUGAGGAAGAGAUGACGCGUAAACGUGGGUAUUUAGGUGGGAAUUUGGGUCUUAUUGAGGAAGAGAGGACGUAAAUGUGGGGAUUUGGGUCUUAUUUAGGAAGAGGAGACACAAAUGUGGAUAUUUAGGUGGGAAUUUUGGGUCUUAUGAGGAGACGAUGCAAAGAUGUGAAUAUUUAGGUGGGAAUUUGGGUGUUAUUUAGGAAGAGAACACACAAAUGUGGGAAUGUGGGUCGUAUUUAUGAAGAGAAGAUACACAAACGUGGAUAUUUAGGUGGGAAUUUGGGUCUUGUUUAUGAAGAGAACGCAUAAAUGUGGGAAUUUGGGUCUUAUUCAUGAAGAGAAGAUGCACAAAUGUGGAUAUUUAGGUGAGAAUUUGGGUCUUGUUUAUGAAGAGAGGACACACACGUGUGGGAAUUUGGGUCUGUUUGUGAGGAGAGGGUACGAAAAUGUGGGAAUUUGGGGCCUUUUUUAGGAAGAGGACACACAGAUGUGGGUAUUUAGGUGGAAAUUUGGGCCUUGUUUAUGAAGAGAUGACACAUAGAUGUGGGAAUUCGGGUCUUAUGAAGAGAGGAUACACAAAUGUGGAUAUUUAGGUGGAAAUGUGGGUCUUGUUUAGGGAGAUACAGAAACUUGGGUGUUUAGGUGGGAAUUUGGGUCUUAUUGAGGAAGAGACAACACAUAAAUGUGGGAAUUUGGGUCUGUUUGUGAGGAGAGGGUAUAAAAAUGUGGGAAUUUGGGUCUUAUGAAGAGAAAAUACACAAAUUGGGGUGUUUAGGUGGGAAUUUGGGUCUUAUUAAGGAAGAAACAACACAUAAAUGUGGGAAUUUGGGUCUUUUUGUGAGGCGAGGGUAUAAAAAUGUGGGAAUUUGGGGUCUUAUGAAGAGAAAAUACACAAAUGUGGGUGUUUAGGUGGGAAUUUGGGUGUUACUUAGGAAGAGAACGCACUAAUGUGGGAAUUUGGGUCGUAUUUAUGAAGAGAAGAUACACAAAUGUGGAUAUUUAGGUGGAAAUUUGGGUCUUGCUUAGGAAGAGAACACACAAAUGUGGGAAUUUGGGUCUUAUUCAUGAAGAGAAGGUACACAAAUGUGGAUAUUUAGGUGAGAAUUUGGGUCUUGUUUAUGAAGAGAGGACACACACACGUGUGGGAAUUUGGGUCUGCUUGUGAGGAGAGGGUACGAAAAUGUGGGAAUU
ensembl:lncRNA